UUUUCAUUUAAAGUAUAUAAAAUAAAUGAAUUGACGUUGGCCUGACCGAGCAUAUCAUAAAAAAUGUGCAUCGGCCAACGUAGCGUUUUUCUAACUACACUAUAUUGAUGGCACUUUUGAUCGAACGUAUCUGUUCCUCCUUUGGUUUUGUUAUAAAACAAUACGAUCUUGGGUUUUUUCGACUAUCAAUAACACCAUUAGUAUGUAGCGAUGAUAAUAAUAAUACAAUUUUUUCCUUUUUUGGAUUAUAUGACAUGAGUAUUUUGCCAUCAACAUAACAAAAUUGUGCGCUUGAACCGUCUUCUGGAAUUUUCUUAAAUGAUGCAGGGAUUUCGCGCUUAUUUUUUUAAUCGUCCCUACAAGUGUUAAAUUGAACUCUUUUUUUAAUUUAUCACAAAUUGGGACAGAAGUAAACCAGUUAUCACAUGUGAUAUUUCUCAUAUGUGAUAUGAUAAAUAGGCUCGCACAAUUUUCUAACAUAGUAUGAAAGAACAGCCUCAUUUGGUUCUUUGUCUACACUUCCGACGUAAGAUAUCGCAUUAUACAUAUAAUGGCCGCGUUCAGCAGACACAACUGUUGUAAAACUGUUGUACAACUGUUGGGUGGAUGUCUGCUGAACGCACUUUGAUCAGUUGCUGCUCCUCAACAUGUUUAGGGAGCGGACGUCAUUUUUUCCACCAAAGAUUUUCUUCGCUACCUAAGCUCAACAUGUUGGAAAACAAUAUGGCGGCGCCCAUGUGUUUGGAUGUAUUAGCUGAACUUAUAAAACUUAUUAAAUGUAAAAGAAAAAAUAAUGAAUUGUCGCAUUAGUAAUAAUGAUAUGUAUAGUGUUAACUAUACAUUUAAUGGUGCCGAAUAUAGUAUAACAGACACAAACGAGGUACACUCAAGACUACGAUCAGACACGAUCCGUAUCACUUAAAGAGCCUGAAAUCAAAGAGCCGCAAACUGCCUCCACGUUUUUGAUUGGCUGUACUAUAUGACGUCAGAAUACGUCAUGUUUGCGAGGAAAAAUCGUACAGUUCGCUAGCUGUCUGCUAGAUAAGAAGGUUGCGAGGUUAUUUUACAUUAAAUCUUUUGAAACAUGUUUCUAAUUAUUUGUAGUUAUGUUGCGGUGUUUAAAUAUUGAUUUGCAUCAUGGUACGAGUAUGUAGUGCAAAUAAUUGUUCAAAUAAGUACUGGGAUAAAGUUCAGGAGGUGCCCUUGUAUUCCUCAUCUGCAGCAACAAUGGUUAGAAAAAUUAAACAGAAGUACUAUGGGAAAUGAAUUUUAUCUUUCUGAGGAACAUUUCAGCAGAGAAGAUUUACAAACAAAUACUCGAAGCCUUAUUCCUAUAAUUUUUUGCAACUGCUCAAAUACUUGUAGGUCACAAUCUUGCAACAGCUUGUCACAAUCUUGCAACAGCUAUUCUGAAGAGAUUCAUUCAAAUGCGACUAAAAAUUUUCACUGGUCAUGAAGAACGAAAAGAAUCCGGUUCAGAAUUUGGUAGUUUCAGCAUGGGCUCGCGUUUGUUAGGCAAAAGCAUGAAAUAAAACUUUAUUAUUAGUCAGCAGAGACUUCCAACGAUAUUGAGUAAAGUAAUUCUGUUUUUAUUUUUAGUAUGUUAGUCUAAUUGUUGUCACAAGAAAUUUCUAUUGAAUGCAAUAACCCAGAUAGAACACAGUGUUAGCAAAAUAUUUUAGAGAUAUAGAUGUGAAAUAUUAUAUAAAUAUUGUA
rnacentral:lncRNA from 1 species